AACGAACGUUGGCGGCGCGCUUAACACAUGCAAGUCGCACGCGAAAGGGAGCAAUCCCCGGUAGCGUGGCGCACGGGUGAGUAACACGUGGAUAAUCUACCCUUGAGCGGGGGAUAACCUUCCGAAAGGAGGGCUAAUACCGCAUAAGACCACGGCCAGUACGCUGGCUGAGGUCAAAGCAGGCCUCUACAUGUAAGCUUGCACUCGAGGAUGAGUCCGCGGCCCAUCAGCUAGUUGGUAGUGUAACGGACUACCAAGGCGUAGACGGGUAGCUGGUCUGAGAGGAUGAUCAGCCACACUGGAACUGAGACACGGUCCAGACUCCUACGGGAGGCAGCAGUGGGGAAUCUUGCGCAAUGAGCGAAAGCCUGACGCAGCGACGCCGCGUGGGUGAUGAAGGCCUUCGGGUUG
rnacentral:rRNA from 1 species